CAUGGAAUAAUGAAAUGAUGACUUUAGAUCCUAUUUUCGUUGGUUUAGGUACUUCAGUAAUGAUGAAUAGAAACGGUUAGGGGCAUUUGUAUUUGGUCGCUAGAGGUGAAAUUCUUGGAUUGA
rnacentral:rRNA from 1 species